rnacentral:lncRNA from 1 species
GGGUCCCCCUUUUAACAGUGGGGUCCCGAUGUUGGGUCGACUCAAGAAUUUUCUUGGGUCGACUCAACGUUGGGUCGACCCUAUUCUGGGUUGGGUCGACCCAAGUGCAGAAUUUUUUCUUUUCUCUUUCUUAUUGCUUCUAAAAAUUUUUCUUGCUUCCAAUCCUUAUAAAUUCUUUCUGGGACAAUGAUACAUGAGUA